GAUGAACGCUGGCGGCGUGCCUAAUACAUGCAAGUCGAGCGAACGGACGAGGAGCUUGCUUCUCUGAUGUUAGCGGCGGACGGGUGAGUAACACGUGGAUAACCUACCUAUAAGACUGGGAUAACUUCGGGAAACCGGAGCUAAUACCGGAUGAUAUUUUGAACCGCAUGGUUCAAUAGUGAAAGACGGUCUUGCUGUCACUUAUAGAUGGAUCCGCGCUGCAUUAGCUAGUUGGUAAGGUAACGGCUUACCAAGGAAACGAUGCAUAGCCGACCUGAGAGGGUGAUCGGCCACACUGGAACUGAGACACGGUCCAGACUCCUACGGGAGGCAGCAGUAGGGAAUCUUCCGCAAUGGGCGAAAGCCUGACGGAGCAACGCCGCGUGAGUGAUGAAGGUCUUCGGAUCGUAAAACUCUGUUAUUAGGGAAGAACAUAUGUGUAAGUAACUGUGCACAUCUUGACGGUACCUAAUCAGAAAGCCACGGCUAACUACGUG
rnacentral:rRNA from 1 species